rnacentral:tmRNA from 1 species
GGGGGCGAAAUGGUUUCGACGGGGGAAGUUGUGGCAGGAUAAGCGAGCCGGGGUUCCAUCAGCCCGUUAAACGGUGGAACAGUUAAUAUAACUGCCAACAAAGAAAAUUACGCUCUAGCUGCUUAAUUACAGCUAGCAUCCCACCCGCACUUGCCUGUGGAGCGGGCCACGGGGUGUCAUAUGAGCAGGCUUACCCUUUAGCCGAUUCUCGGAGGCCAAACGGGGAAAUUCAUCGAGAUAGCUCCGGCGAAGCCUGGUUGUGGGCGCCAAAGGGGCGAAUUUUAAAACACAACCUACGCUCGUAGAAGGUCUUGUGGCUCUUCUUUCGGACGGUGGGUUCAACUCCCCCCGCCUCCACCA